UGAUCCGUUAUAGAGAUGUGCCUAUAAAAUUUUGAUUCGUGAGCUGGUACAACGGUCAUGCAAGCAUGAGAUGGAAGUUACAGAUUAUCCUAUCUUAUUCUCCGCUACCUGAUAUAAAUUAUAUCCAUAAUAAAGAAUAAUAACAGCUGAGUCCUGAAUUACUUGCAACAAAAUCUUAAAUACAGGAUCGACAUUCGACAGGCAGCCAAGCUCGUCCACCUGCAAAAUGCCGCACCUCACCGGUUGAUAGGAUCACGACCAUUCCAACUACCAAGUCCACCUUCCUUACACGUGCUUCGCAGUAAGACUAGUAGUACCAAACCCCCUCUUGGCUCGUUCCAUCUAACUGCUCUCUUCGUUCUCCCUCCUCCCCUUUACCCCAUCCCAGACCCUCCCGCACCGUAGCAAUCAUCAUGGCCGUCAGCCGUCUCGCCCCCUCUGCCUCCACCCUCUCCAAGCUUCUCCUCCACCCCGUCUCCGCCCCGCCAUUCUCCCGACCCUUCUCCGGGACCGCCGCCGGAGACGACCAGACCGUCCUGACCAUCGAGACGAGCGUCCCCUUUACCGGCCACAAGAUCGACCCACCCUCCCGCUCCGUCGAGGCCACCCCGAAGGAGCUCCUCUCCUUCUUCCAGGACAUGGCCGUAAUGCGCCGCAUGGAGAUCGCCGCCGACUCCCUCUACAAAUCCAAGCUCAUCCGUGGCUUCUGCCAUCUCUACGACGGCCAGGAGGCCGUCGCUGUCGGAAUGGAGGCCGCCAUCACCCAGCGCGACUCCAUUAUCACCGCCUACCGCGACCACUGCACCUUCCUCGGACGCGGGGGCAAUCUCGUCGAGGCCUUCUCCGAGCUCAUGGGCCGCCGCACUGGCUGCUCCAAGGGCAAGGGCGGGUCGAUGCACUUCUACAAGAAGGAGGCCGGAUUCUACGGCGGCCACGGCAUCGUCGGAGCCCAGGUCCCCCUCGGCUGCGGCCUGGCCUUUGCCCAGAAGUACUUUAAGGACGAGACCGUGACCUUUGCUCUGUAUGGUGAUGGGGCCGCCAACCAGGGGCAGCUCUUCGAGGCCCUCAAUAUCUCAGCGCUGUGGGAUUUGCCGGUUAUCUUGGUCUGCGAGAACAAUCACUAUGGUAUGGGGACUGCUGAAUGGAGGGCUGCGAAGAGCGCCGCAUACUACAAGCGUGGUGACUAUGUUCCUGGUCUGAAGGUUGAUGGAAUGGAUGUUCUUGCUGUGAAGCAAGCAUGCAAAUUUGCUAGGGAACAUGCGCUAAAGAAUGGACCCAUUAUUCUUGAAAUGGACACCUACAGGUACCAUGGGCAUUCUAUGUCUGACCCUGGGAGCACAUACCGUACUCGUGAUGAGAUCACUGGCAUAAGACAGGAGCGUGAUCCGAUUGAAAGGGUUAGAAAGUUGAUUUUAACCCAUGAGAUAGCAUCUGCCUCUGAACUCAAGGAUAUUGAGAAAGAAAUCAGAAAAAAAGUAGAUGAAGCGAUUGCACAAUUCAAGGAAAGCCCUAUGCCUGAUCCAUCUGAGCUCUUUGCUGAUGUAUAUGUAAAGGGUUAUGGCGUGGAGAUGCAAGCAUGCCCAGGACUCAAACUAUCAAAGUCAAUUAAAUGAUGAAAUAGCUGAGGCUUGCAUAUUGGAAUGCUUGCAUAGAUUAUUCCGCGUGCACCCAGUGCUUUCUGUAGCAACUGGUGUCCUUGCUUUAGUACAGACAAUGGAACAGAUUAAUGAACAGCCCCUCUGUGGAAAAAUAUAUUACAGGUAGAAAAAUUGUCUUUUCAGAUAAACAUGGGGUGCAUGCUCACGCACCAAGGCCCAGCUUAGACAAAUCCAAGACUAUGACCAGCAUUGGCUGGCCGAUCUCUGUACGUUGGACAUGCAUGGGCGGUAUCCCAGGUUUACUGACAGAAAAGCCUGAAGACUCAACUUUCAAAGAGGAUGGAUUUGCUAACAAGGUAAUUACGUGUAAUUAACAAGAACUGAUCCAUGAUUAUUGUGAAUUGUUGUAAGAAUUAUGACAUUCUAAUGAUUAAGAAAAAAAUGGAGGA